UACGUAGGGUGCGAGCGUUAAUCGGAAUUACUGGGCGUAAAGCGUGCGCAGGCGGUUCGCCAAGUCCGGUGUGAAAUCCCCGGGCUCAACCUGGGAAUUGCGCUUGAAACUAGCGAGCUUGAGUGUGGCAGAGGGGGGUGGAAUUCCACGUGUAGCAGUGAAAUGCGUAGAGAUGUGGAGGAACACCGAUGGCGAAGGCAGCCCCCUGGGUCAACACUGACGCUCAUGCACGAAAGCGUGGGGAGCAAACAGG
rnacentral:rRNA from 1 species